rnacentral:rRNA from 1 species
CCAUGCACGUCUAAGUAUAAACAGAAAUACAGUAAAACUGCAAAUGGCUCAUUACAACAGUUAUAGUUUCUUUGAUAACAAACGUUUACAUGGAUAACCGUGGUAAUUCUAGAGCUAAUACAUGAGCACAUUCUCAACUGUUUUAGAAGAGAAGCAUUUAUUAGAUAAAAAACCAAUAUAUGUUUUUAAAACAUAAAAGUUGGUGAUUUACAAUAACUAAGCAAAUCGCACAGUGCAAACUGGCGAUAAAUCAUUCAAGUUUCUGACCUAUCAGCUUUCGACGGUAAGGUAUUGGCUUACCGUGGCAGUGACGGUUAACGGGGAAUUAGGGUUCAAUUCCGGAGAGGGAGCCUGAGAAACGGCUACCACAUCUAAGGAAGGCAGCAGGCGCGCAAAUUACCCAAUUCUAACAGCAUAAGAGAGGUAGUGACAAGAAAUAACAGUACAAGGCAGUUAAAAUGCUUUGUAAUUGGAAUGAUAGAAAUUUAAAUACUUUUUAAAGUAUCAAUUGGAGGGCAAGUCUGGUGCCAGCAGCCGCGGUAAUUCCAGCUCCAAUAGCGUAUAUUAAAAUUGUUGCAGUUAAAAAGCUCGUAGUUGAAUUUUUGCUAAAAAUAACCGGUCUGCUUUUAUUAAUAAAAGUGGUAUCUUGGUGUGUUUUUAGCAAUAAUGUCCUUUGAAAUGUUUUUUACUUUAUUGUAAAAAGCAAUUUUCAGGAUUUUUACUUUGAGAAAAUUAGAGUGUUUCAAGCAGGCUAACGUUUUGAAUACUGCAGCAUGGAAUAAUAAAAUAGGAUUUUAGUUCUACGUUAUUGGUUUUAAGAACUAAAUUAAUGAUUGAUAGGAGCAGUUGGGGGCAUUUGUAUUUAACUGUCAGAGGUGAAAUUCUUAGAUUUGUUAAAGACACACUACUGCGAAAGCAUUUGCCAAGAUGUUUCAUUAAUCAAGAACGAAAGUAAGGGGAUCGAAGACGAUCAGAAUACCGUCGUAGUCUUAACUAUAACUAUGCCGACUAGAUAAUGGAGGUCGUCCUUA